AUGCCGGCUGUUUUCUGGGGAGAGGCGGUGCUGACGGCCGUCUACAUCCUCAACCGCUCGCCUACUAAGGCACUCGAUGGCAGGACACCAUACGAGGCCUGGCAUGGGCGGAAGCCAACGGUCUCCCAUUUGCGGGUCUUUGGUUGUCUUACAUUCGCUAAGGAGCUCGGCCACAUCGGCAAGCUCGACGACAGGAGCACUCCAGGAGUCUUCAUUGGCUAUGCGGAGGGCUCAAAGGCCUACCGCAUCCUCGACCCAAAGACACGGCGUGUGCGCACGGCGCGAGACGUCGUGUUCAACGAAGGGCGAGGGUGGCAAUGGGACAAGGCGGUGGAUGACGGCUCGACGCUGGCGUAUGACGACUUCAUUGUCGAGUACGCCCACUUCAAGCAAGCCGGGGGAGCAAGCAGCUCCUCUUCGCCGGGCACGUCUACCCCGACCCCCAAAACUGCAUCGACUCCGGUGCCUGCUAUGCCGACGGCACCACAACUGGCGACGCCGUAUACUCCAGCCCCGGUAGUCACCACUCCGGGUCCGUCUUCAUCAGCACCAGCUCACGUAGAGCACAACCGGAAGAAGUUCGCUUCCCCACUCACUCACGACAAGGAGCGUGUCGACGCGUGGUAUGGAGGCAAACAGUUGCGGUAUCACACGAUGGAUGAUCUACUCGGCGACCAGCCGGUGCCGGGACAGAUGCCACAUGACCUGGAGGCGCAGCUACAACUCGCGUGUGAGGACGGCGAACCACGGUCCUUUACAAAGGCCGAGAGAGAUGCGGCAUGGCGCGCUGCGAUGCAGUUGGAGAUGGAUGCGGUCGAGCAAAACACACCUGACCUCCCUCGUGGUCACCACGCAAUCACCCUUAAGUUGGUGUUCAAGCUGAAGAGGGAUGGAGCUAGCGCCAUCAUCAAACACAAGGCUCGCCUAGUGGCCCAAGGCUUCUUGCAGUAG
rnacentral:rRNA from 1 species